CUCCAGUGGCUGGAGUGGAAGUGAGGAAGAGGGAGAGCUCCUGGGCACCAGAAUGAAUGGGGAGGGUCCUUUAGGGCACUGUGAGGCCAUUAGCUUUUACUCCUACUGAGACUGGACAUCCCAGGAGAGUUUCAGAGCAGAGAAGUGCUAUGACUGCUCUUGAAGUUUAAGAGGACCAGGUGGCUGGCUUUGCUGUGUGUCAGAGAACAGGAGCAGAAACAGGGAGACCAGCUGGGAGGUGACUGCAAAAGUCCAGGUGAGAGGCGAUGGAGCUAGUGAGGAGUGCCGGAGGCCUGGUGUAUUCUGACGUGUAUCAUCUUUCUUGCUGCCCUUGAAGAGUGGUGUCCAGUGAAUCUUUCAAAGAAUGAUACUGAGCUUCAUUGUUGAUGAACAAAAAUGCAAAUCUCACCCAGAGCAUGCAGGAACAUGCUAUAAUCACUACACUCCUAGAAUGUGAUCUCUUUCAAUAUUGACUGCAUCCAUGCCUUCCACACACUUGCACCAGUUGGGAGGAUGGAGAUGUCAUCUGGGCAGAGGGAGAAGAGCAGUACCAUUCAGAGGUCUGUCCCUCUUAAGAUAUAUUCUCUCUGUCAACCUAGAACUCAAAGGGCUGUGUGAAAAGUUUACUGUGGAAAAAGAAAUUGAAAAAACUGCCACUAAGUAGCAAUGGAAGGACUUUUCCCGCUAAGAUGAGGAACUGCUCAGAUCACCAGCUGCUUCAGGUUACCAGCCCACACCUGUCUGUCUCACCUCUGACAACCUUGGUAAAGAAACCAAGGCUUAGAGACCUGCUCACAGUCGUUUCGUGAGGGAAUGCAACAUCUGGGUCUAGGGUCCAAAUCUAUCUCUGCUGUGAAGAGGAACUCAUACAGGAGAUCUACAUGAUUACCAAUUCUUGGCCUUGCAGUGGAGGAUAUUAAUUUUAAGUACCUGUGAAAUGAAGUUCUUAAAACCUAAGAUUCCCCAAAACUCCAGUUAUCAACAAGGUUAUAUAGGAAUCAAAGCGAGGCGUUUGGAGUAGAUGCCGAGAUCACCUCUCCCUCACACCUCUGCUGACCCCAGCUACCUGCAAUCCUGCCAGGACCAUUCUGGAGUACCUUUCACUGAAGACAAAUUUAUUGUAAAAUUUCUACUGGGAUUCAUUGUAG
rnacentral:lncRNA from 10 species